rnacentral:rRNA from 1 species
AGAGUUUGAUUCUGGCUCAGAACGAACGCUGGCGGCGUGGAUAAGACAUGCAAGUCGAACGAAGAAUCUCAAUAGCUUGCUAAUGAGAUUCUUAGUGGCGGACGGGUUAGUAACACGUGAGAUACCUACCCUUUAGACAGGAAUAGCCCAUGGAAACGUGGAAUAAUACCUGAUAGUCUCUACGGAGUAAAUGAUGCCUUCGGGUGUCGCUAAAGGAUGGGCUCGCGGCCUAUCAGUUUGUUGGUGAGGUAAAGGCUCACCAAGACUACGACGGGUAGCUGGUCUGAGAGGACGAUCAGCAACACUGGAACUGAGACACGGUCCAGACACCUACGGGUGGCAGCAGUCGAGAAUCAUUCACAAUGGAGGAAACUCUGAUGGUGCAACGCCGCGUGGAGGAUGACGGCCCUAGGGUUGUAAACUCCUGUCAUUGGGGAGUAAGACUUAUGCGUUAAGAGCGUGUAAGUUUGAUAGUACCCAAAGAGGAAGGGACGGCUAACUUCGUGCCAGCAGCCGCGGUAAUACGAAGGUCCCAAGCGUUGUUCGGAAUCACUGGGCGUAAAGCGUGUGUAGGCUGCGCGGAAAGUCAAAUGUGAAAGCCCGGGGCUCAACCUCGGAACUGCAUUCGAUACUCCCGUGCUAGAGUAAUGGAGAGGUAAGUGGAAUUCCUGGUGUAGCAGUGAAAUGCGUGGAUAUCAGGAGGAACAUCAAUGGCGAAGGCAACUUACUGGACAUUUACUGACGCUCAGACACGAAGGCUAGGGGAGCGAAAGGGAUUAGAUACCCCUGUAGUCCUAGCAGUAAACGGUGCUCGCUUGGUGUGGGAGGAUUCGACCCCUUCUGUGCCGGAGCUAACGCGUUAAGCGAGCCGCCUGGGAAGUACGGUCGCAAGAUUAAAACUCAAAGGAAUUGACGGGGACCCGCACAAGCGGUGGAGUAUGUGGUUUAAUUCGAUGCAACGCGAAGAACCUUACCAGGGUUUGACAUGAUAC